UAGAGGUUAGUAAAAUAUUAUACAUUAACUUGUCAAGUUAAAAAUAGCUAUACCAGCUACCUUUAC
rnacentral:tRNA from 1 species